rnacentral:lncRNA from 1 species
GUGUUUUUCGUGAAUGCGUUAUUACCUCUUGUAUUCUUUCAAGCUUGGUUCAAAUUCGUUUCGUUAUAAGAAAAAUCCGGUUUUUAUAAGACUUAGCACGCCUUAUCCUUGCGUGUAAGAAUAUAGUCCGUUGCCGGUCAAGGUUAAAUCAUGUAAAUAACUGUCAGUACGUACAUACAUAUGAAUUAUAAAGAAAGCAAGCAUAAUUUCGUACGUCUCGACACCGAUUCAACGAUAUAAAGCAUGUAAAUACAAGUAACUAAAGAAAUGUAGGAUUCAUAACAAGCUAGAAAACAAAGAUGUUAUUCGAACGCCACAUGUUGGCGGAAUUUCGUAACGUUAAAUCGGCAACUGUCAAAUUUGCCGGGAACGACGUUACGUUUACAAAAAGGUACUGCCGCGAUAUUUAACGUUCACAACACU